rnacentral:lncRNA from 1 species
GAAGAUUGGGCCUAACCUAACAUCUGUGCAAACCUUCCUCUACUUUAUGUGAGAUGCCGCUACAGCGUGGCUUGAUGAGCAAUGCUGGGUCCUAGCACGGCGCCCAAGAUCUGAACCUGCAAACCCCGGGCUGCCAAGGUGGAGAGUGUGAACUUAACCACUACACCAGCAGGCCAGCUCCCUUCCCCAGCUUCUUAAUGCUUAGAUGAGGAGCUGAGCAGCCUCCCGUGCCUGGCCUGGCAGGGCCUACAGCCCCUUAGCCCUCUUGCAGCAACAGACGGAGGCAGACCCAGCGGGCCAGCCAAGUGAAGUCACCUGGCAACCCUGAAGCCGUCCCCUCUCUCCCUCUGCCUGGAAUGCCCUCCCCACUCUGCUCUCACAACUCCAGCCUCUUCACCUUCAACAACUCAGGACCUACUACAUGCCAAGGACUGUGCUAGUCACUGGGGCUACAAUAGUGAGCAAAAGCAGAGGUCUUCCCUCCAGCACUUGCAGUUCCUGACCAUUCACACCUUCCUGGCUCUGCACCUUCCGCCGUGCGUUCCCUCUGGCUAGAUGGCCUGCCCUAGGCCUCUUUACCCGGAUCCCAGCCAGCCCUCAAGCUCCUCUCGAGACUCGCCUCCACCACCCGCCGUGAUUGCUCUCGUUUCUGAGUUCAUUCAACAUUUGCUAUCUGGACAACUCAAGUGUCUGGACAAGUCAUUUGGCACAUGUCAGAUGUUCUUGCAUCUUUAACUUUCCCAUUUAUACAUGGAUCCUGUCACCUUAACUUGACUGUUCACCUCACCACCCAGGAAACAUUUUCAUUCUCCUCAAGAAGCAUUUACCAAACGCCUACUAUUUUAGCAAUGGAAAAAGUGACGAACCUUUGUGGAGUCUCUCUCAGUUAACAAAGAGCUUUCAUAAAUG